rnacentral:rRNA from 1 species
UACGUGAGGGGCGAACGUUGUUCGGUGUCACUGGGCUUAAAGGGUGCGUAGGUGGUUUCGUAAGUAAGGUGUGAAAGCCCUCGGCUUACCCGGGGAAUUGCGCCUUAUACUGCGAGACUUGAGGAUUUCAGGGGAAAGGGGAACUCCAGGUGUAGCGGUGAAAUGCGCAGAUAUCUGGGGGAAGGCCGGCGGCGAAGGCGCCUUUCUGGGAAAUUCCUGACACUGAGGCACGAAAGCGUGGGGAG